rnacentral:tRNA from 1 species
GCCCUGGUGGUCUAGAGGUUAAGAUUCGGCAUUCUCACUGCCAUGGCCUGGGUUCGUUUCCCAGUCAGGGAA